GACGAACGCUGGCGGCGUGCUUAACACAUGCAAGUCGAACGGAAAGGCACUGAUUUUGUGGGGUGCUCGAGUGGCGAACGGGUGAGUAACACGAGAGUAACCUGCUCUUGACUUUGGGAUAACUUAAGGAAAGUGAGGCUAAUACCGGAUAGCAGCUCCUGCUGCAUGGUGGGGGUUGGAAAGUUUAGGCGGGUGGGGAUGGACGGGGGGCUUAUCGGCUAGUUGGUGGGGUAGUGGCUUACCAAGGCUUUGACGGGUAGCUCGCAUGUGAGGGUGACCGGCGACAUUGGGACUGAGAGAGGGACCAGACUGGUACGGGAGGCAGUAGUGGGGAAUAUUACACAAUGAGCGGAAGCCGGAGGAAGCGACGCCGCGGUCGGGAUGACGUUCUUUGGGGUGUAAAACGCUUUAGCCUGAGACGAAGCGUUAGUGACGGUAAUGGGUAAAGAAGCACCGGCUAACUACGUG
rnacentral:rRNA from 1 species